AUUCCAGCUCCAAUAGCGUAUAUUAAAGUUGUUGCGGUUAAAAAGCUCGUAGUUGGAUUUCUGCCGAGGAUGACCGGUCCGCCCUGUGGGUGUGCAUCUGGCUCAGCCUUGGCAUCUUCCUGAAGAACGUAGCUGCACUUGACUGUGUGGUGCGGUAUUUAGGACAUUUACUUUGAGGAAAUUAGAGUGUUUCAAGCAAGCGCACGCUUUGAAUACAUUAGCAUGGAAUAAUAAGAUAGGACCUUGGCGGUCUAUUUUGUUGGUUUGCACGCCGAGGUAAUGAUUAAAAGGGACGGUUGGGGUUCUUCGUAUUCAAUUGUCAGAGGUGAAAUUCUUGGAUUUAUGGAAGACGAACUGCUGCGAAAGCAUUUGCCAAGGAUGUUUUCAUUA
rnacentral:rRNA from 1 species